GGAUCCAGACUUUGAUCCUGGCUCGGGAUAAACGCUGGCGGCGCACAUAAGACAUGCAAGUCGAACGGAAGUCGUUACGAAAUGGAAUGAAGAUUUAUCUGAUUGAAGUUUUGUAACAAUGGCUUUAGUGGCGGACUGGUGAGUAACACGUAAGCAAUCUACCUAUUAGAGGGGAAUAACAAUGAGAAAUCAUUGCUAAUACCGCAUAAGCUUGUAGUACCGCAUGGUACAGCAAGAAAAGGAGCAAUCCGCUAAUAGAUGAGCUUGCGGCUGAUUAGCUAGUUGGUGUGGUAACGGCAUACCAAGGCAACGAUCAGUAGCCGGGCUGAGAGGCUCUUCGGCCACAUUGGGACUGAGAUACGGCCCAGACUCCUACGGGAGGCAGCAGUCGGGAAUUUUGCGCAAUGGAGGAAACUCUGACGCAGUGACGCCGCGUAUAGGAAGAAGGUUUUCGGAUUGUAAACUAUUUUAGUCAGGGAAGAAAAAUGACAGUACCUGAAGAAUAAGCUCCGGCUAACUACGUGCCAGCAGCCGCGGUAAUACGUAGGGAGCAAGCGUUAUCCGGAUUUAUUGGGUGUAAAGGGUGCGUAGACGGGAAGACAAGUUGGUUGUGAAAGCCCUCGGCUCAACUGAGGAACUGCAACUAAAACUGGUUUUCUUGAGUGCAGGAGAGGUAAGUGGAAUUCCUAGUGUAGCGGUGAAAUGCGUAGAUAUUAGGAGGAACACCAGUGGCGAAGGCGACUUACUGGACUGUAACUGACGUUGAGGCACGAAAGUGGUGGGGAGCAAACAGGAUUAGAUACCCUGGUAGUCCACACCGUAAACGAUGGAUA
rnacentral:rRNA from 1 species